AAGCGGCAACAGCUCAAAUUUGAAAUCUGGCUCCUUUUAGGAGUCCGAGUUGUAAUUUGCAGAGGAUGCCUCGGGUGCGGGUUCCUUCCGAGUUUCCUGGAACGGGACGCCAUAGAGGGUGAGAGCCCCGUCUGGUCGGAAACCCAGCCCGUGUGAGGCUCCCUCGACGAGUCGAGUAGUUUGGGAAUGCUGCUCUAAGGGGAGGUAUACUCCUUCCAAGGCUAAAUACCGGCUAGAGACCGAUAGCGCACAAGUAGAGUGAUCGAAAGAUGAAAAGCACUUUGAAAAGAGAGUCAAAUAGCACGUGAAAUUGUUGAAAGGGAAGCGCUUACUACCAGACUUGGGUUCGGCGGUUCAACCGGCGCCACGCGCCGGGGCACUCCGCCGGCCCAGGCCAGCAUCAGCUCUCUGUCGGGGGCAAAGGCGUCGGGAAUGUAGCUCCCCCUCGGGGAGUGUUAUAGCCCGGCGUGUCAUACCCUUCGGGGGGCUGAGGUCCGCGCUCCGCAAGGAUGCUGGCGUAAUGGUAGUCAGUGACCCGUCUUGAAACACGGACCAAGGAGUCAACCUUAUGUGCAAGUGCCCGGGCGUAAAACCCCAGCGCGUAAUGAAAGUGAACGUAGGUGAGAGCUUCGGCGCAUCACCGACCGAUCCCGAUGUCCUCGGACGGAUUUGAGUGAGAGCAUAUAGGGUUGGACCCGAAAGAAGAUGAACUAUGCGUGUGUAGGGUGAAGCCAGAGGAAACUCUGGUGGAGGCUCGCAGCGGUUCUGACGUGCAAAUCGAUCGUCAAACAUGCGCAUGGGGGCGAAAGACUAAUCGAAUCUUCUGGUAGCUGGUUUCCGCCGAAGUUUCCCUCAGGAUAGCAGUGUUGAUCCCAGUUUUAUGAGGUAAAGCGAAUGAUUAGGGACUCGGGGGCGCUUUUUAGCCUUCAUCCAUUCUCAAACUUUAAA
rnacentral:rRNA from 1 species